rnacentral:rRNA from 1 species
CCUACGGGCGGCAGCAGUGAGGAAUAUUGGUCAAUGGACGAGAGUCUGAACCAGCCAAGUAGCGUGAAGGAUGAAUGCACUAUGGGUUGUAAACUUCUUUUAUCAAGGAAUAAAACGAGGCACGUGUGCCUUGUUGCAUGUACUUUAUGAAUAAGGAUCGGCUAACUCCGUGCCAGCAGCCGCGGUAAUACGGAGGAUGCGAGCGUUAUCCGGAUUUAUUGGGUUUAAAGGGAGCGUAGAUGGGUUGUUAAGUCAGUUGUGAAAGUUUGCGGCUCAACCGUAAAAUUGCAGUUGAUACUGGCAGUCUUGAGUUCAGGUGAGGUAGGCGGAAUUCGUGGUGUAGCGGUGAAAUGCUUAGAUAUCGCGAAGAACCCCGAUUGCGAAGGCAGCUUACUAACCUGUGACUGACAUUGAUGCACGAAAGUGUGGGUAUCAAACAGGAUUAGAUACCCUGGUAGUC